rnacentral:misc_RNA from 1 species
AAAGGUUAAUAUCCAAUUCCCAUUUAUACUCACAAGCUUAAAUCUGUGAAGUGCUUUUGGUAAGAAGAAAAUUGCAUGAAAAGUUCAAUGUUGCUUAAUCAUUAACACGUAGAAUUCCCACAAAUUCUGAUGUUUGGUGCACAAUUUAGUGUCUUUUGCUUCCGUCUUAUGAUAGGACUAUCCACAAGGAGUAGCUUUCUCUAUCCCAUUAAUCCAAACCCUUUCUAGUGGCUAAUUAGAAUUUGACAUUUUAACCACUAGUGUCCUUUUAGAGUGGCAUGGCCCAGCCUAGUGCCCACAGCCCCAAUGAAAAUUUCAUACCGCACUCACAGGCAAAGGCCAUACCACACAGAAUUUUUAUUUGUCUUGACAUGCAUGUCGGCUUCACCUGCCCUCAUUUCACAUGUAAACAGAACAUUUCUUCAUAUUCCUCAAACAAGAUGAUUUUAACUAAAAAUCCAUGUAUAUUCACAGGCAAUGCAAUUAAUUACCAAUAGAAGCACAUUUCCAUCUAUAGAUAUAUAGCUCUCACAUUUUGCAUGAUUUCAACAAAGCAAAGGGAAUGAAGGCCAAAUCCACCAAAUUUAGGUCUGGUGAGCUUGGAUGAAGAAUACAUAUCUAGACCUUACCAUAAUAUUAUUAUAAAACAAUUUGAUUUGCCUCAGGUUUAGAAAGCUUACACGUGAAAACAACAAGGGAAACCUAACAAGUAAAUAGCAUACAAAUGUAAAAAACAACAGAAGCACAAAACUAACUCAAGGUGGGGGCCACUCCCCCCACCCCUGAAAAAAAAAAAAUCUCGUUGCAGCAGUUUGUUCAUGGUCCCAACUCCCAACAAUAAUCGUAUACAGUUAGGCUUAGGCACAACCCAUGAACCCAACACCAAAACCAACUGUAGUUCUCAGCAUAUAUUCAUUGUUACCUAGUAAAGUAUGGUGUGUUAUGGUGCAUCGCAGGCAUUCCAAUCUGCAUGGGCAGCUGCUUGUAAGGUGGAGGCAUCAAAUGUGCUCGUUCCAUCAGAAUAUGAAUUCCUUGUGGGACCUAUUUCUUUCUCUGGUCCAUACUGUCAAGCAAACAUUGUAUUUCAGGUAAAAGUGACAAACACAUUAAUAAGAUGUUGCAUUCUAAUCUGUGACUGUGUUGCUCGAAAUCAGAUGCAACUGUUCGACACAUCCAUGUCUGUUUUAAAUGUCCAAUAUGCAUCCCACAUGGCAUGUUAUCAUAAAGUGAAGAGACAGAGCAACAGAAAUUCUAACAACAUACUGAAGAAAACUUACCUAUGUCUGUUUUAGAUGUCUGAUGUGCAAUUAUACAUCCCACACGAGUACGCUAUUGUAAAGAGAAGAGUUGGAGCAGCAGAAAUUCAUACAGAAGAGAACUACAGUAAUGCACUCAAUACUGAUAAACUGAUUAGUUGAAUUUUUCUCAGCUGGAUGGCACAAUUAUUGCUCCAACAAACUCCAACAUUUGGGGUAAAGGUCUUCUGUGGUGGAUUGAAUUCACAAAGCUUAAAGGAAUUACAAUUCAGGGAAAAGGCACCAUCGAUGGGAGUGGCUCAGUAUGGUGGCAAGACUACCCAUUUGAUGAUCCUUCAGUUUGUAUAUCAGCUACAAAAAUAUGCAUUAUAUUUGCAUCUAAUCAAGCUUCUCUCCAAAUUGUCUGGCAGAUAAGAAAUGAAUUCAGUAAGACAAUGCCAAGCAUCAAGCCUACAGUAAGGACCACUUGGCAGCUAUGAAGAUUUCUAUUACAGCUCAAGAUCAUUCAGUCCCUUAACAUAAUUGACUUGUUUUCUUUUCACAGGCACUAAGAUUUUAUGGAAGUUUCAAUGCAACGGUCACAGGCAUUACAAUUCAAAACAGUCCCCAAUGCCACCUCAAGUUCGAUAACUGCAUGGGAGUGGUGGUUCAUGAUAUAAGCAUCUCGUCACCUGGCGACAGUCCUAAUACGGAUGGAAUCCACCUACAGAACACCAAAGAUGUGCUAGUUCACAGCAGUAAUCUUGCUUGUGGUACUUAUUUUACUUGCAGAUUAAUUAUAUUAAUUACCAUGCUUAAUUAAACAAAACGGUACACAGGGUAAGCUUAAAUCUUGACAAACUAGAGUAAGACCUGCAGAGUUACAAAGGGGGUUACAGGUUCCACCACUACAGAAAAACUUGGAAACUUUGACACCAUUUUUACAAUUGCAGACAGAAAAGGUCAUAUACGCUUAGAUACCUGGGAUAGAAUUCUGAUAAACAAAGACACAACCUUAUCCUUCUAGUUGAAAUGUUUUGUCAACCUUCAAUAACCACUAGUUAUUUGACAUGUAGAGGCCAACAAUAGCAGAAUUGUUUAAUAAUAUAGCCAUCAGUCAUUUUACACUUGUCAUACUCUAAAUCAUCAUUGGGAUCCAGUAUAGGAUUAGGUUGGACCUUAAAGACACCAAGAACACAUCUUUUCUUGAACCUCACGAGUUUUCUUUUGUCCUCAUCAGCAAUUACCCUUUCUCUGCUUUUCCACUUCUUUAAGUGAAGGCCUGACAAGCUUUAGUAUAACAUAGCAAUAAAUGCUAAACGGGUUCACAUGUCAAGUUCCUACUGAAACAAGCCUUAUAAACUAGAGAUGUCUGCAUCAAAUGAGAAGAUCAAAUCUCAAAUUUAUAGAUAAAAUUUAACAUUGAUCUUAAAGCCAAUUAGUCUGCAAUAAUUAUUGAACAAAGAAGGAUGUCCAUGUCAAAUUUAUGCUGACAAAAAAAAUAAAAAUGUCAUGAUUUAUGCAGGAGAUGACUGCAUUUCUAUACAGACUGGAUGCUCAAAUGUAUACGUACACAAUGUGAAUUGUGGUCCAGGACAUGGAAUCAGCAUUGGAAGUCUGGGAAAAGAUAAUACCAAAGCCUGUGUCUCCAACAUCACUGUUCGAGACGUCAUUAUGCACAAUACAAUGACUGGUGUCAGAAUUAAGACAUGGCAGGUAUUCAUGCCAUCUGUACUCCCAUUUCAUUCAAAAUUUGCAGAGUUAAAUUGGCUUUUACAAACCAAAACACAUUCAAAGUCAAGCAUGAGACUAACCUAGAAUAAGAUAUCAUAUAAUUGAAAUGUAAAGGUCAACAAGAAGAUUUCGACUUUCAUAAGGUCUUUAAUAUUUACAUUUCAUUUUCAAGCCAUUAUGAACAUUCUGAACAACCUACUUUAUUCACAAGUUUUGGAAUCUGACAAAAUUUCAAAGAAAAUCAAAUUUUGAGAAGAUGAUUUCAGUCUUGAAAAUGGAAGAAAUGUUCCAACUGAAACUUUCAACACAUUCCAAGCUUGACAGCUCAAUAUGAUGCUUUAUCUUGUUUAUGUGUAACAUAUCCAAGUUCAUACUUCAACCUAAUGCCAGACAAAAGUAAAUUCUAUCAGCCUGAAAAGUUUUUGCCUAGUAAGCUUAUCAUAGUGUUUCCAACUCAAUCAAGUUACUUAUAGUGCUUCUCAAAUAUUAUUUCAAACAUUGCAUUGCAGGGUGGAUCAGGCUCUGUGCAGGGGGUACUCUUCUCAAACAUUCAAGUUUCUGAGGUUCAACUUCCAAUUAUUAUUGACCAAUUCUAUUGUGACAAAAGAACAUGCAAAAACCAAACAUCAGCUGUGGCUCUAUCAGGAAUCAACUAUGAAAAAAUCAGAGGGACAUACACAGUAAAACCAGUACACUUUGCCUGCAGUGAUGCCCUGCCAUGUAUAGAUGUAAGCCUAACCACCAUUGAACUAAAACCAUUGCAAGAACACUAUCACAUGUAUGAUCCUUUCUGUUGGCAAACUUUUGGAGAGUUGAAUACUCCUACUACCCCCCCAAUUGACUGUCUACAGAUCGGUAAGCCAUCAAGCAACCGGCCUCAGUCAGAUCAUGAUGCUUGUUGAGCUUCUCGCACUCAAUUAUUGUGUAUUGACUUGCGUGGUCGGCAUGAUUUUCUGACCCCUAUCACACCAUUAGCUUAUUAGGUAAAGGAUUUAUAUUUAGGCAGUCCUAUCUUAAAGGAAUUCUUCUUCAGCAGGAUUACAUUGAAUCCCAUUGUGUGAGAGUAUAGAAGCAGUAUUAUAAGCUAGUCUGAUAGUAGAGUAUAAGGUGGUCUUGUUUCCCAUAAUGGAUUGUUUAGUUGUGAGAGAGCAUACUAAGCGCUUGAUUACUGGAUGUGCAAUAAAUAAAUUAUCAUCAAUGAAAAUUUGAAAUUUCAACGACACAAUUACCAAAGAGUAACAUCAAGAGGAAACAAUGUCCAUGGAGAUCUAACGUCUAUGGCAGAAACAAGCGUCAGGAACCAACCAUCUACAUUCAGCAAAAGCAAUUAAAUUUGAUAAUUGCUGACUAAAAUCACAUCCGGUACUAAGAAUUGAAGAAAGAAAUCAAUGCUAACAAUUUGAUCAGACCUGCAUAAUCAAGAAACAAGUCAAUGCUAACAAUUCAGAAAACUCAUCUGCCCAAACGCAUCCAUAUGGACCAUAUCACUAAUAGACACCCCAUAUUCUGUCUCUGUUAGAUUUAACUCUUUUUGCCCGUCAUCAAUCAUUCAACUUCAACCUACAACCAUACUCUUCUUUAUACAGGCCCAAGAGCAGUUUUCACACUAAUCAAAGAAUGUCAGUCAUGGAAGACAGAUCUAAAGACACAGUUCCCAAAGUAAUCACUU